GCGCGCGUUCCCUCAGGCUUUGCUCUUCCUACUCCGCACUUUCCUUCUUUCUUCUGAAAAGAGCGCUGGUAACAAUGAAGGCUACUGAGCUCCAGAAAGCCAGACACCAGGACAGGGUGAAGUUUGAGCAUAAGGCUUCGUAUUUCAAAGAGGAGGAAUGGAGUUAAUUUUACUCCUCCCAGAGGACUCUGUACAGGGAUGUGAUGCUGAAGAAUUUAGGAAACAUAGUCUCACUUGCUCAUGGUGUUCCUGCUGAUGGAAGUUUCUCAAGAACCUCGUGAGGCUGUGCGAAUUUCACUGGCAUUCACUCCAUUACACCAAAUCCCCACCCAUACGUUUGUUCAAGACAAUGCCUUGUUUUGGGGGUUGGGGUCCUGCUGGGGUGGCUGAGGGACACCAACCUUGAGCAUCCCAGAGGCCCUCCAACAUAGUUAAGAAAAUCUGUGAGAGACAACUUUAGUCUCUUGAGAGGGCUUUUCAUGGGAAUUAGUAAUCUGAACUUUUAGUCUUUCUGAGCAUUUAGCAAAAGUUUGUAUAACCACACCCUUGGAUUUUCUCUAGACCACACUUUCAGAAGCAUUCUCUUAGUUUUACCUUCUUUGUUUCUCUCUCCCUUUCUUCCUUUCUUUCUUCCUGCUCUUUUCCCUUCCUACCUCCUCUUUCAUUCUUCCUCUUUCUCUACCUCCCUCCCACCCUCUCUCUCUCCCUCUGUCUCUUUCCCUCUCUUUCUUUAAUAAACUAAGAAUUUCCCAAAUCACCAAGUCCUGGUUCCUUUUGUUUAACAGUUCUUUGCACAAUUUACCCUUCUCUCCUCAUAUUUUGCUCUAAGCAGCAAGAAGAUAUCAGGCCAUACCUUCAAUACAUUGUUUGGAAAUCUCCUCAGAUAUAUAUCUGUGUUCCUCAUUGGUUACUUCAACUUUCCACAUAACUGCAGGAUACAAUAAUGCUAAGCAUCAGCCAUUGUAUAAGAGACUCCUCCCUUACUGUAGUUUCCAAUAACUCAUCCCUCACUUCAUUGGGAGCCUGCACUGUCAGAAUCUUCCAGGUCCAGAUGUUCAUUAAAAGUCUGAUAACAGUUAGUUUGGCUUUCUGUAGGGCAACUUAGGAUUUCCCUAACAUUCUCCUUAUUGCUUGAGAGUCCCCACCAGCAGAGGUUUUAAAUACCAGAUCUGUACUAGCACUCUGCUCAAGGCAAUCUAUGUCUUUUUCUAUUGUGCCUCCCAAAUUCUGCCUUGGCCUUAUAUCCAAGUUUGU